rnacentral:rRNA from 1 species
GUGGGGAAUAUUGCACAAUGGGCGAAAGCCUGAUGCAGCAACGCCGCGUGAAGGAAGAAGGCCCUUGGGUCGUAAACUUCUGUUCUAAGGGAAGAUAAUGACGGUACCUUAGGAGCAAGUCCCGGCUAACUACGUGCCAGCAGCCGCGGUAAUACGUAGGGGGCGAGCGUUAUCCGGAAUUAUUGGGCGUAAAGAGUACGUAGGUGGUUAUCUAAGCGAGGGGUUUAAGGCAAUAGCUCAACUAUUGUUUGCCCCGCGAACUGGGUGACGUGAGGGCUGGAGAGGAAAGCGGAAUUCCUAGUGUAGCGGUGAAAUGCGUAGAUAUUAGGAGGAACAUCAGUGGCGAAGGCGGCUUUCUGGACAGUAACUGACACUGAGGUACGAAAGUGUGGGGAGCAAACAGGAUUAGAAACCCCUGUAGUCC